CUAUAGGAUUUAAUCCGAUAUGUCGGAUGUCGGAAUUGGACUCCUUAACGGAAUUUCAGUCCUUAACAUAACACAAUCGGAUAAGGCCCAAUCGGUUUGGUUAAGUUCCAACAUCCGAUAAUACUAGGGAUAUACGAGUAAGUUUCCGUCACCCAUGUAUUAGAUGCCGAGAAGAUCAACACAAACAUCAUUUUUUCUCUUCUAUUUUGUAUCUUUUCUACCUGUUCUCUGCUACUCUUCGACUGAUUAACACAAAUAUCAGUGAAACAAAUUAGGGAUCUUCUACCCUUCAUAUCCUCAUACAUUAACACAAAACAGGAAAAUGUCUCAAAAAGCUUCCAAUCAAGUUGGAACCUCAAGGUCAAACACUCAAUCAAAUUCCUCACAAUCACAAUUACCAGAAGACCAAAGUGUUUAGUGUUCAACAAUUGCUUCAACUCCCGUGAGUAGGAGAUUACCAGAACCAGAUGGAAACAAUGAUCCCAUGUCGAAGAUGAUGAUGAUCCACUUGUAUCUGCUGCAAAGAAAAAACUGCGGACGACAAGGUCAAAAGUAUGAAAUGAAUUUACUAGGUCUGUUACUACAAAGAUUGGAAAAACUGGGGUGAAGGAGGUUGUCAUAAAAGUACAUGCCAUCAUUGUAAAAAUGUAAUUGAAGCAGCAAGUGCAAAAGGAGCUAGCCGCUUGGCUGCUCAUCUAAAGAUCUGCCCCAAGAAAGAAGAGAAUCAGCCAGGACAGAUGAAGAUUUCUACUGCAAUGAAAACAGCAGGUAACCAAGCAACUAAAUUAGCUAAUUGGAAGUAUGAUCCUGAAGUUACUAGGUUAUGUGUUGUUAAAAUAAUUGCUAAGCAUGAUUACUCUCUUAACAUGGUUGAUCAUUUUUAUUUUGGAGAGUUUUGUAAGUCUUUGAACCCUGUUGCUAUGAUGAUGUCUAGGAAUACAACUAUAAUGAUUUGAUGAAGUUUUAUGCCGAAAAGAAAGAAGAAUUGCAAGUAGAAUUGGAUAAUUUGAACUCUAAAUGUAGUCUUACAACUGAUAUGUAGACUGUUAAACAUACUAAAGAUGGUUAUUGCUGUGUAACAUGCCACUAUAUAGAUGAUGAAUGGAAGUUGCAUAAAAAAACAUUAGCUUACAUUAUAGUGCCAUCACCACAUAUAUGAGGAGAAAAUUUUUGAUGAGGGCGUUUUUUGAAGGGGGCAUGGGGGACCAAUGAUAUGUUGACACAUGCACUUGAUAUUAAUGAAUUAUGUUUCCAAAAAUACCAACACCAAUUAAGAACACAAAUUUUCUAUACAAAAAUACAUUUCUUUUAUAUUUUUGGAAACAUAAUUUAUUAAUAUCAAUUGCAUGUGUCAACAUAUCAUUGGUCCCCAUGCCCCCUUCAAAAAACGCCCCCAUAAAAUUUUUUCUCAUAUAUGAGAUGUUCUCAUAGAAUUUAUCAAAACUUGAAUUCUGGAAUGGCACAUGGUAUACUUCUGUUUUUCAAUUUUUUUGUUUCUUGUCAGAUAGCGGAUUUUAUCGGAGUAAAAUCCGAUAUCCUGUUGCUUAUUGUAACGGAAUCGAAUUAAUUUUUUGGAAUUCCGUUGGAUUUUAUCGGUUAUCCUUUGACAGCCCUAGUAGUAGGCGUUUGUGAACCCAUCAGGUGUCAUUUUUUGUUAUUCAGUUAUGGCAGCUGUCAGUUGAAAGUUGCCGUUAUGUCUUAGCUGUGUCCUAAUGGCUUAUUUCCUUUUCUUGAUAUCAUGUUAUCUGAUCAUUGUAUAUAAGUGUCUUGUACUCAUUUGGUUUUGGUAAUGGGAAUCUUUCCAUUCGUUUGCACUACUUAACCACAAACUACAAAUAACAAAAAAGGCUCGAGAAGGGUAAAUUUGUGUUCGCCAAAAGAUAGGAAGUGCCACUUGCAUAAAUCGAUACAGAAGUCUACAUACUACGUACUACACAACUUGAACUUCGAUAAGCCAAGUGAUCGAUAAAGGUUUUUCAACUUGGUUGUCGCAACAAUAAGUAGCUGUAAGUAGACUAUCCAAUGGUUGUCGCAUCAAUAAGUAGCUGUAAGUAAACUAUCCAAGAUGUUAUUGCGUUAUCACCGUGGGGACAUUGUGUAAAUUGCAGAUUAGCUCACCUUGUUAAUGGAUGCUGAGAUAAUUCAAAUUGUCUUAUUAUUCAUCUACAAGUCCUGUCUUAUUAUCAUCUUAAGUCCAACAUGAAUUUAGUUUGCUUGCUUUUAAAGUUGGAUAAUCUUGUUCAAAGAGCAGACGGUAUCAAUGAGUCUUUGGCGGUGAAAAAAUGGAAAUACUAUAUAAUAUCAAGAAAAGAAGUUGAGAAUUUGUGCAACAUGUAGAAUUGUUUUCUCAGUUCUGACUAUAUGAAAUUUAAUACGGAUUAUGCAACAACAACAAAAAAAAA